UACGAAGGUCCCAAGCGUUAUCCGGAUUUAUUGGGUUUAAAGGGUGCGUAGGCGGGCUAUUAAGUCAGUGGUGAAAGCCCCAAGCUUAACUUGGGAAUUGCCAUUGAUACUGAUGACCUUGAGUACAUUUGAAGUGGGCGGAAUGUGUCAUGUAGCGGUGAAAUGCUUAGAUAUGACACAGAACACCGAUUGCGUAGGCAGCUCACUAAACUGUAACUGACGCUGAGGCACGAAAGCGUGGGGAGCAAACAGG
rnacentral:rRNA from 2 species